rnacentral:rRNA from 1 species
UGCGGUAUUUUAACUGUACUAAGGUAGCAUAAUAAUUUGCCUUAUAAAUUGAGGCUAGUAUGAAAGGUUUGACGAAGGUUUAUCUGUCUCUUUUUUAUUUAGUAGAAAUUAAUUUUUUAGUGAAAAAGCUUAAAUAAUUCAAAGGGACGAGAAGACCCUAAUGAGCUUAAAUUUUAUUUUAUUAUUUAUAAAAUUAUAAUAGUUAAGAAAUUUUAAUUGGGGUGAUUAAGGAAUAAAUGUAAUGGAAUAACUUCCUUAAAAUGUAUAAAAUUGUUAAAUUAAGUAACCAAUUUAUAUUGCUUAUAAUAGAGUUACCAUAGGGAUAACAGCGUAAUUUAUUUAGAGAGCUCAUAUCAAAAAAUAAGAUUGCGACCUCGAUGUUGGAUUAAAGUAACCUUAAGGUGCAGU